rnacentral:rRNA from 3 species
AUAAACUAUGCCUGCCAGCGAUCCGCCGAAGUUCCUCCGAUGACUCGGCGGGCAGCUUCCGGGAAACCAGAGCUUUUGGGUUCCGGGGGAAGUAUGGUUGCAAAGCUGAAACUUAAAGGAAUUGACGGAAGGGCACCACCAGGAGUGGAGCCUGCGGCUUAAUUUGACUCAACACGGGAAAACUCACCAGGCCCGGACACCGGAAGGAUUGACAGAUUGAGAGCUCUUUCUUGAUUCGGUGGGUGGUGGUGCAUGGCCGUUCUUAGUUGGUGGAGCGAUUUGUCUGGUUAAUUCCGAUAACGAACGAGACUCUAGCCUACUAACUAGGCGUACCCGGUAUCCACAAUCGUGCUACCGGCGAUCAAAUUUCUUCUUAGAGGGACAGGCGGCUUCUAGCCGCACGAGACUGAGCAAUAACAGGUCUGUGAUGCCCUUAGAUGUCCUGGGCCGCACGCGCGCUACACUGAAGGAAUCAGCGUGUCUUCCCUGUCCGAAAGGACCGGGUAACCCGCUGAACCUCCUUUGUGCUAGGGAUUGGGGCUUGCAAUUGUUCCCCAUGAACGAGGAAUUCCCAGUAAGCGCGAGUCAUAAGCUCGCGUUGAUUACGUCCCUGCCCUUUGUACACACCGCCCGUCGCUACUACCGAUUGAAUGAUUUAGUGAGGUCUUCGGACUGGUGCGCGGAGGCCGCUUCGCGGUCUCCGAUGUUGCCGGAAAGAUGACCAAACUUGAUCAUUUAGAGGAAGUAAAAGUCGUAACAAGGUUU